rfam:Drosophila grimshawi strain TSC#15287-2541.00 scaffold_15203 genomic scaffold, whole genome shotgun sequence.
CGCACUGGUGAUGAAUACAAUUUGUAUAUUCUUGAUAGGAAGAGUAUGAAACAUAAUGAGUACUAACAAAAUAUUACUGAAUGUGCC